rnacentral:rRNA from 1 species
AUUCCAGCUCCACGAGCGUAUCUUGAAAUUGCUGCGGUUAGAAGGCUCGUAGUUGGAUUUCAGUCUAGGAUGGUUAACGCGCCGAAAGGCUGUACGUUGAUUUUCCUCAGACCUCGUCGGAAGCUCGUGCUGCACUUAACUGUGUGGCACGAUGUUCCUUGAGGAAAGUAAAGUGUUUCAGGCACGCUACCCAGCUUGAAUACAUUAAGCACGGAAUCAUGAAAUGGAUCUCGGUUCGAUUUCGUUGGUUCUAGAUCUGAGGUGAUGAUCAAUAGGAACAGGCGAAGGUAUUCGUACUUGAGAGUGAAGAGUGAAAUCUCAUGAUCCCUUAAAGACGAUCCGAGGCGAAAACAUGUGUCAAGGAUGUUUUUCAUCA